rnacentral:misc_RNA from 1 species
CUUAAUCUUUGAGACAAGCAUAUGACUACUGGCAGGAUCAACCAGGUAGCAUUCCUCAACGACGUCGUCACCGCACGGCCGGGCCGAGACGGGAGCGACGGUCGUGCACCGUUGGUGUCUAAUGCAUGCUCGGGCAACAAUAAGAGGCCGCGUGACCUCAAUGCCCUCAGUGCUUUCCGUAUCCGAGAGCUCGAGCGAUGCCCCAUUCACCGCGACGGCAUAGACGCGACGCGGGUAACGGGCCAUGCUGUGAGUUUCGUCUCGUGACCCGCCGGACGAGCAGCGGACCGCUAAACGAACGAGGGACGUUGGGACAAACGAAUGCCAUCGUGUAGGUACGCAACACAGGAAACCGGGGUCACGGCCAAGGCUUUGCCGCACUUGGGCCAAAACUGAGGAGUCGUGAGAGGCACGCCGUCGCUGCCCGAAGCAGGGAUCCAACGCAUAUAUUUACUUACUUUUGAGGGACAUUUAAAUGUUUAUUUUACAAAUUAUAGUGGCAAACAAAAAAUACCUUUCUAUUCAAUAUCUCUAUGGGGUAGGGGGGUUUCAAAAAAAAUUAAUAAAAAGGUUCGUUUAUUAGCAAUGACUGAUGAUAAAAGUUUUUCCUUUUUUUCAAAAGGAACAUAUCGAAUUGAUGAUAAU